UGAGUCGACCGGGCGGUCGCGGCCGGUGAAACGGCGGGCGGGUUCAUCCCGCCCGUGCAGACACCGUGCCGAGGAAAGUCCGGACUCCACAGUGGCAGGGUGGUUGUCAACGGCAACCCAGGGUGACCUGCGGGACAGUGCCACAGAAAACAAACCGCCCCGCACCCCGGGAGACCGGGUGCGCGGGGUAAGGGUGAAACGGUGCGGUAAGAGCGCACCAGCACCGCGGGUGACUGCGGUGGCUAGGUAAACCCCACCCGGAGCAAGGUAAGAGGGCGCACCGGCGGAUCCUCACGGAGACACCGGUGUGCCUGCGCGGACGAUCGAGGGCUGCCCGCCCGAGUCCGCGGGUCAACCGCUCGAGGCGCCCAGCGAUGGUGCGUCCAGAUGGAUGACCGCCACCGCGCCGGUCACACGGCGCGGUACAGAAUCCGGCUUACAGGUCGACUCAUUCG
rnacentral:RNase_P_RNA from 1 species